AGCCCUGGCCCAUCAUGUAGCUGCAGCACAGCCUUCCCUAACGUUGCAACUGGGGGAAAAAUCACUUUCCAGUCUGUUUUGCAAGGUGUGCAUUUCCAUCUGGAUUCCCUGAAAGUCCAUCUGCUGCCUCGGUCAAGAGAAACUCCACUUGCAUGAAGAUUGCACGCCUGCAGCUUGCAUCUUUGUUGCAAAACUAGCUACAGAAGAGAAGCAAGGCAAAGUCUUUUGUGCUCCCCUCCCCCAUCAAAGGAAAGGGGAAAAUGUCUCAGUCGAAAGGCAAGAAGCGAAACCCUGGCCUUAAAAUCCCCAAAGAAGCAUUUGAGCAACCUCAGACCAGUUCCACGCCACCUCGAGAUUUAGACUCCAAAGCUUGCAUUUCUAUUGGAAAUCAGAACUUUGAGGUGAAGGCGGAGGACCUGGAGCCUAUAGUGGAGCUGGGCCGGGGCGCGUACGGGGUGGUGGAGAAGAUGCGGCAUGUGCCCAGCGGGCAGAUCAUGGCGGUGAAGCGGAUCCGGGCCACAGUAAAUAGCCAGGAGCAGAAAAGGUUACUGAUGGAUUUGGAUAUUUCCAUGAGGACGGUGGACUGUCCUUUUACGGUCACCUUUUAUGGCGCACUCUUCCGCGAGGGGGAUGUCUGGAUCUGCAUGGAGCUCAUGGACACGUCCCUAGAUAAAUUCUACAAACAAGUGAUUGAUAAAGGCCAAACAAUUCCAGAGGACAUCUUAGGGAAAAUAGCAGUUUCUAUUGUAAAAGCAUUAGAACAUUUACACAGUAAGCUCUCUGUCAUUCAUCGAGACGUCAAGCCUUCCAACGUGCUCAUCAACACCGUGGGCCAGGUGAAGAUGUGCGAUUUUGGCAUCAGCGGCUACCUUGUUGACUCCGUCGCCAAAACUAUUGAUGCAGGGUGCAAGCCGUACAUGGCCCCCGAGAGAAUAAACCCAGAGCUCAACCAGAAGGGAUACAGCGUGAAGUCCGACAUUUGGAGUCUGGGCAUCACCAUGAUCGAGCUGGCCAUCCUUCGGUUUCCCUAUGAUUCGUGGGGAACUCCUUUUCAGCAGCUCAAACAGGUGGUGGAGGAGCCGUCGCCACAACUCCCCGCAGACAAGUUCUCCGAAGAGUUUGUUGACUUUACCUCACAGUGCUUGAAGAAGAAUUCCAAAGAAAGGCCAACAUAUCCAGAGCUUAUGCAACAUCCAUUUUUCACCCUACAUGAAUCCAAAGCGACAGACGUGGCAUCUUUUGUAAAAUCGAUUCUUGGAGACUAAAAACAAUGGACUCCAUCAGUUGACCCUCAUGUGGAUUGGUGGGUUUAACGGGGUGAAGCAAGUUCACUAAAGCGCCAAUAGAAACUCAUCUUUGAGAUAAUUUAACCCUGCCUCUCAGAAGGUUUUUUUCUCCCCAUUUCCUUUUUUUUUUUUUCCCCCCCAAAGGGGGCCUUGGAAUCUAUAGUAUAGAAUGAACUGUCUAGAUGGAAGAAAUAUGAUAAAGGCUUAGGACUUAAAAAGGGAAAUAAAACCCGAAUUCCAGAGCCUUCAAAAUGAAACUAUCCUUCUGGGGAAAGCAUAUUGCCACCAAAUACAUCACUCACCACCUGUUCCUGGUGUCUGCAAAGAAGAUGUGUCAUUUUUCUGAGGUUUAGAGAGUCUGUGUUUACAGCUCUACAAAUAUCAUUCUACCAUUGCAGGUUUUCUAAUGGAGCCAUUUGGAAUCAAGACUUCAGCUGGGGUUUAUCCUUUCAGUUCCUGACCCAAACUCCUUUUGCAAGCAGCAUUUCUCUAAAAGUCUUUUUUGUAUCUGAGGGAAGAGA